rnacentral:rRNA from 1 species
AACGAACGCUGGCGGCAUGCCUAACACAUGCAAGUCGAACGAGACCUUCGGGUCUAGUGGCGCACGGGUGCGUAACGCGUGGGAACCUGCCCUUAGGUUCGGAAUAACUCCCCGAAAGGGGUGCUAAUACCGGAUAAUGUCUUCGGACCAAAGAUUUAUCGCCUUUGGAUGGGCCCGCGUUGGAUUAGCUAGUUGGUAGGGUAAAAGCCUACCAAGGCGACGAUCCAUAGCUGGUCUGAGAGGAUGAUCAGCCACACUGGGACUGGGACACGGCCCAGACUCCUACGGGAGGCAGCAGUGGGGAAUAUUGGACAAUGGGCGAAAUCCUGAUCCAGCAAUGCCGCGUGAGUGAUGAAGGCCUUAGGGUUGUAAAGCUCUUUUACCCGGGAUGAUAAUGACAGUACCGGGAGAAUAAGCUCCGGCUAACUCCGCG